AAAAAAGGAAGUGGAACAUAACCAACCAUCUGUCUGCAGAAAGUUAACAGGUCUGUCUCCAACAGAAAGGUUUGCAUCACUCCACUGUGAGAUUGGAACAAUGAUAACAAUCUUCAUGGCCAUCGCAACUGUUGCUGCGGCAGCUCUGGCAAAAGCAUCUAUUGAGUGCAGCUUUUCCGACUCUACUAGAACUCAGUUAUGUUAUGUAGAAGAGGGACAGCAACUUAUUUUUAAUCAUCAAAAGGUAAAUAUUAGUGAAAUUAGACUGACAAAGGAUGAUAUAAAUAUAAUUUUAAGGAUAGACAAGAGUGGAACAGUGACUCUUGAUAAGGAUUAUGUUAACCAGUUUAAACAAAUCCAACCUGGAACAUUCACACUGGGCAUCGCCUUGAAGAAACAUUCUGGAGAAUACCUCCUGCAAGAAUAUGACGCUAAAGGAAAAAUAAUUAGAGCAGUCAAGGUCGUCCUAAAAGUAGAAGGUUCUAGGAGUGCUAAUGUUACUGCAAUAGCCUGUUCCACUGUCGCUCUUUCUGUAGUUCUGGGUUUCAUUUUAAUCAAACUUUGGAAAAAAAGAAGACAAAUGGUACAUAAUAAAG